rnacentral:rRNA from 1 species
AACGAACGCUGGCGGCAGGCCUAACACAUGCAAGUCGAGCGGGGUUUUCGGACCUAGCGGCGGACGGGUGAGUAAUGCGUAGGAAGCUACCCGAUAGAGGGGGAUACCAGUUGGAAACGACUGUUAAUACCGCAUAAUGUCUACGGACCAAAGUGUGGGACCUUCGGGCCACAUGCUAUCGGAUGCGCCUCCGUGGGAUUAGCGAGUUGGUGAGGUAAUGGCUCACCAAGGCGACGAUCCCUAGCUGGUUUAAGAGGAUGAUCAGCCACACUGGAACUGAGACACGGUCCAGACUCCUACGGGAGGCAGCAGUGGGGAAUAUUGGACAAUGGGCGCAAGCCUGAUCCAGCCAUGCCGCGUGUGUGAAGAAGGCCUUCGGGUUGUAAAGCACUUUCAGUAGGGAGGAAGCGUUGAGUGUUAAUAGUACUCAGCGUUGACGUUACCUACAGAAGAAGCACCGGCUAACUCUGUGCCAGCCGCCGCCGUAAGAC